UAGAGAUUUGGAGGAGGCGGGGGCCCGGAGAAAGCACAUGUCCGUAUCCCCUUCUUCCUGCUCUUUAUCCCUUUAUCCUUAGGGUUUGACUGCUGCUGAGACAGCCCGGGGCCCUGUGUAUGGCCACGGAGUUACAGUGUCCGGACUCCAUGCCUUGUCACAACCGGCAAGUAAACUCUACUUCUACCCCAAGUCCCGAGCGUCUGCGAGCAGACGACCCGAUCCUGGAUCAUGCCGAAGAAAAUAACGCUGCUAUGGCUAAGCUGACUCUGCUCCCCGGGCACGCCCAUUCGAGCGUGCUCUCCGAGCGGGACUCUCAGGCCUGCCAUGGCACUAACCUUCACUCUGAGAACCACAGUGACAGUAGUGACAGUGGCAACUACGAAGCACCUGUCGGCGACUCCCUGCUAGGGGACUGUGAACUCUCCCGACAGAUCGGGGCACAGCUUAAGCUGCUGCCUAUGAAUGAUCAGAUCCGGGAGCUGCAGACUAUCAUCCGGGACAAGACAGCCAGUAGAGGGGACUUCAUGUUUUCUGCGGAUCGUUUGAUCAGACUCGUUGUAGAAGAGGGACUGAAUCAGCUGCCAUAUAAGGAAUGCAUGGUGACCACGCCCACAGGGCACAAGUAUGAAGGAGUGAAAUUUGAGAAAGGAAAUUGUGGGGUCAGCAUAAUGAGGAGCGGUGAGGCAAUGGAGCAAGGUUUACGAGACUGCUGUCGAUCCAUACGAAUUGGGAAGAUCCUGAUUCAGAGCGAUGAGGAGACACAAAAGGCCAAAGUGUAUUAUGCCAAGUUCCCUCCAGACAUUUAUCGCAGAAAAGUCCUUCUGAUGUAUCCAAUUCUCAGCACUGGAAACACUGUAAUUGAAGCUGUAAAGGUUCUUAUAGAACAUGGAGUUCAACCCAGUGUUAUUAUCCUACUCAGUCUCUUCUCCACUCCCCAUGGUGACUCCUGUGAAAGAGUCUUUUGACCCCCAAAGGUGUCAUGACCCACAACUUGAGAACAGCUGCAUCAAGGGAACAUUUUCUAAUGGCCCUGCUUGCUUCAGGAAGCUCACCUGUUCAACUAUCUUGAAGUGCCUGGAAUCCUGCCUGUCUGAGGUUUUAUGGAGGCUUCAGUACAUAGGAAUGGCUCAUUGCAUCAUUGGCUGUUGAUGAUCACCUCAACCUUUAACCCUUUUCUUUUCCCAAGAAAGCGGACUGGGGAAGAGUGGGAUUGAAGUUUUCGCUAUUCUAAUAAUGAGGUUGAUUUCCUAGGCAAUCAGUUCUCAUCAUAAGGCAAUCCAGGAUCCCUCGACCAUCAGUCAUCUUAUUAACACACAAAAAGUCACUUACAACUGAAGAGACGUUAAAGGCUUUAGGAGUAGUGUGCCAGGAUCCAGGGGAGAGGCCACAUGUAUAUUUCUUAUUACAUCACAGUACCACAAAUCUGUACCAACUGAUUUUCAAUGACAUAUAGGGAUGCUGCUCUUAUCUCCCUUUUCCAUCUUUGACCUAUUGUGUAUAUUGUAUAUAGAUUAAAGACUGAUGAAUAUAUUGUUUGAAACCUUUUUUUGGAGGCAGGCUUUCUCUAGCUAGCCCUAACUAUCCUAGAAUUCACUAUAUAGACCAGGCUGGCCUUGAAUUUACAGAGAUCCUCUUGUCUCUGCUUCCCAAGUGCUAGGAUUAAAGGGAUUACAUGUGUGUGCCAUCACGCCUAGCCUGCAACCAUUCUUAAUAUAACUUUACAUCUUUCAUUAUUACUAUGGUUUUUGGUGGGGCUGAAGGUUUCAGUAUGCUAAUCAAGUAUGAUGUAUGCUCAUCUCAGUUUUAUAAAUUUUAAUGAACCCAAGUAAGGAAAGGACGAGUAUGUAUUUGCAGAAUGUAUUAGGUUUCCAUUGCUGUGACAAAAAAAUGGAAGAAAGGUUGAUUUUGGUUCAUGGUUCAGUCCAUGGUCAUUUGACCUCGUUGUUUGGGACCUGAUGUGAAGCAGAACAUCAUGGCAGGAAGUAGAGUGGGACAAAGAUGCUUGCCACAUGGAAAGGGGGAAAGAUGAAGAAGAGAAG